UACAGAGGGUGCAAGCGUUAAUCGGAAUUACUGGGCGUAAAGCGUGCGCAGGCGGCUUUGCAAGACAGAUGUGAAAUCCCCGGGCUUAACCUGGGAACUGCAUUGGUGACUGCAUCGCUCGAGUAUGGCAGAGGGGGGUAGAAUUCCACGUGUAGCAGUGAAAUGCGUAGAGAUGUGGAGGAAUACCGAUGGCGAAGGCAGCCCCCUGGGUCAAUACUGACGCUCAUGCACGAAAGCGUGGGGAGCAAACAGG
rnacentral:rRNA from 1 species